rnacentral:rRNA from 1 species
UGAGGAAUAUUGGGCAAUGCCCGCAAGGGUGACCCAGCAACGCCGCGUGGAGGAUGAAUGUCGUAAGAUUGUAAACUCCUGUUAGAGGGGAAGAAUAGUACCGGUUGGACCGGUAUAUGACUGUACCCUCAGAGAAAGCCCCGGCUAACUACGUGCCAGCAGCCGCGGUAAUACGUGGGGGGCAAGCGUUGUCCGGAUUUACUGGGUGUAAAGGGCGCGCAGGCGGGAUAAAAAGUCAGUGGUGAAAUCCUACAGCUUAACUGUAGAACUGCCUUUGAUACUUUUAUUCUUGAGUUCGGGAGAGAGAGACGGAAUUCCAGGUGUAGUGGUGAAAUACGUAGAUAUCUGGAAGAACACCAGUUGCGAAGGCGGUCUCUUGGUCCGACACUGACGCUGAGGCGCGAAAGCGUGGGGAGCAAACA